rnacentral:rRNA from 1 species
AACGAACGCUGGCGGCAGGCCUAACACAUGCAAGUCGAACGCCCUAGCAAUAGGGAGUGGCAGACGGGUGAGUAACACGUGGGAACCUUCCCUAUAGUACGGAAUAUACCAGGGAAACUUGGAGCAAUACCGUAUACGCCCGAGAGGGGAAAGAUUUAUCGCUAUAGGAUGGGCCCGCGUAGGAUUAGCUAGUUGGUGAGGUAAUGGCUCACCAAGGCGACGAUCCUUAGCUGGUUUGAGAGAACGACCAGCCACACUGGGACUGAGACACGGCCCAGACUCCUACGGGAGGCAGCAGUGGGGAAUAUUGGACAAUGGGCGCAAGCCUGAUCCAGCCAUGCCGCGUGAGUGAUGAAGGCCUUAGGGUUGUAAAGCUCUUUUAGCAGGGAAGAUAAUGACUGUACCUGCAGAAUAAGCUCCGGCUAACUUCGUGCCAGCCGCCGCUGUAACAC